UAAGUCGGAUGUGAAAUCCCUGAGCUUAACUUAGGAAUUGCAUUCGAUACUGGGAAGCUAGAGUAUGGGAGAGGAUGGUAGAAUUCCAGGUGUAGCGGUGAAAUGCGUAGAGAUCUGGAGGAAUACCGAUGGCGAAGGCAGCCAUCUGGCCUAAUACUGACGCUGAGGUACGAAAGCAUGGGGAGCAAACAGGAUUAGAUACCCUGGUAGUCCAUGCCGUAAACGAUGUCUACUAGCCGUUGGGGCCUUUGAGGCUUUAGUGGCGCAGCUAACGCGAUAAGUAGACCGCCUGGGGAGUACGGUCGCAAGACUAAAACUCAAAUGAAUUGACGGGGGCCCGCACAAGCGGUGGAGCAUGUGGUUUAAUUCGAUGCAACGCGAAGAACCUUACCUGGUCUUGACAUAGUAAGAACUUUCCAGAGAUGGAUUGGUGCCUUCGGGAACUUACAUACAGGUGCUGCAUGGCUGUCGUCAGCUCGUGUCGUGAGAUGUUGGGUUAAGUCCCGCAACGAGCGCAACCCUUUUCCUUAUUUGCCAGCGGGUUAAGCCGGGAACUUUAAGGAUACUGCCAGUGACAAACUGGAGGAAGGCGGGGACGACGUCAAGUCAUCAUGGCCCUUACGACCAGGGCUACACACGUGCUACAAUGGUCGGUACAAAGGGUUGCUACCUAGCGAUAGGAUGCUAAUCUCAAAAAGCCGAUCGUAGUCCGGAUUGGAGUCUGCAACUCGACUCCAUGAAGUCGGAACUCGCUAGUAAUCGCUGGAU
rnacentral:rRNA from 1 species